UGGGGAAUAUUGCACAAUGGAGGGAACUCUGAUGCAGCGACGCCGCGUGAACGAAGAAGGCUUUCGAGUCGUAAAGUUCUUUUGUAUGGGAAGAUAAUGACGGUACCAUAAGAAGAAGCCCCGGCUAACUACGUGCCAGCAGCCGCGGUAAUACGUAGGGGGCUAGCGUUGUCCGGAAUCACUGGGCGUAAAGGGUUCGCAGGCGGAAAUGCAAGUCAGGUGUAAAAGGCAGUAGCUUAACUACUGUAAGCAUUUGAAACUGCAUAUCUUGAGAAGAGUAGAGGUAAGUGGAAUUUUUAGUGUAGCGGUGAAAUGCGUAGAUAUUAAAAAGAAUACCGGUGGCGAAGGCGACUUACUGGGCUCAUUCUGACGAUGAGGAACGAAAGCGUGGGUAGCAAACAGG
rnacentral:rRNA from 1 species